rnacentral:lncRNA from 1 species
CGAAGGAUAAUUAGCGUCAGUAAAUGAUAUGAUGGUUCCUGGAAAUGGCCUGUCAAUCCUCAGGGGAGCAUCUGUCACAGUCAUGACCGAAUCCAGGUAAGCCCUUCUCUUUCUUCCUAUCAACUUCCCUACGGAUCCACCGGUUAUCACAUCGAUGACAUGCCUUGGAGGCGGUACUGGAGCCAUUUGAACCGUCUGGACAGUACGAUUCUAGUCUGCUGAUCAUUCGCG